UGUCAAUUUCACAUAGUGUUGUGAGUGAUAAUGUUGUUUUUGAAUACAUCUUUUGUCCACUUCAAUUUUAGAAUGAACUAGAUUCGGAGGAGAAAGUUAAUUAUUAAUUUUCAUUAUUGACUGAUUUUUAGGAUUUAGUUUUUUGGUCAUAAUAUUUUCUGUUUGUACAGUGGGCAACAUCGUAUGUAGGUUGUCGUCUAUAAAAAAAAAUCAUGAAAAAGAAACUAUUUAACCAGCCACAAUCACAGACACAGUCUUUAAAAAUUAUAACAGAGAAAUUUGAAACUAAGGACACAGAGAUCCCCCUAAAGCCAUGCUCUGGUGAAACCCUGUUCCAUUUGUUUUUGUCAUAAAUGCACCUUUCAUGCAUAGUGCUCUUUGUUAAAUUGAUCAAAACUACACUCUCUCAUAUUCUCCUCCCAGUUUUGCAGAUCAGAGAUAGUAUAGAGAGGGAAAUACUAAUGGAGGCCUAUCUGAACCUGCUCUCCCUCUGCCUGGAGCUUGAUCAGGAAUGGGAAGCUCUGAGGGAAGGAGCCUCUCCCUUGAAUCUAGACAAUAAAGAGACAGAUGUCAGCAUGCUCUCUGAGAUCCCAAGAGACAAAAUGACUGAGAUUGUGUGCUCUAGUUCUCUGCCUUCUUACAAUAAAGAGUUGCUAAUGUAUGUGGCCACAAUUAUACUAGAGGAUGAGAAGAGACAGGGAAAGCCAGGGGUGAUGAAGGGAUGGAGGGAGGCAUGGAGGAAUGCGGUACUAGAAGGGGUUAGAAAAACAUUGAAGAAAGGUAACCUGGACAGCCAGGAGAAGAACACUUCCUGGUUGGCGGUGCAUCUGGGGCUUCUGGGUAAAGCUAUUGUGGAGGAUCUGGAGACAGUUAAGGUAGAACUUCUGAGCUCAUAUCCAGCAGACUUUAAUGUGUUUGAAACCUAUGUGUCCUGCCAUCAUGAGGCUGUGGGAGAGCAUUUAAAGAGACUUCUGGAACAUGUGACAGAGCUGAAAGAUUACUACACUCUUCUAGAAUUUAUUAUCCAUCGCUACCCCAGGAGGACUUUAAAAAUGCACUGGAGAAUAUCAUCAAGACUGAAAGGGAAGAAGUGUGGGGAAUGAAGAAAAUUCCCAUCAGAACAGACGGUAGAUACCUCAAACAUCCACAUGGACAUCAGUCAGUUCAGAACCACUGGAAUAGACAGCGCAACUAACUAAUCUGACCGCCAAAGACAUCAAUCGUACCCUGAAUGCACAAGGCAAAUUAAAGUAUACAUGGCAGGCUCACACGUCGCGCCUGAUGGGCUAGAGGCCGGGCUGCCUUACCCUCUCACCUGCCACAGACAUGGGAAGACAGGCCGCCAAGCACGCCGCCGCCCCUUCAUGGAGCCCCGUCCAACUGCGAGGAUGCCAGAUUCCCCCUUUAUUAUGAACACUAUUCCCCCUUGGACACUUUAUUAUCCCUUUUACAGACAUGUUACUUUUAUUAAUAUUUCCAAUAAAUGCCUCUCCGAGGCUUGACGCCAAACCCACUAUGUCUGUCAGUGCAUAUAUAUACUGUAGGCCUAUAUGUCAUAUGGACCCUUUUCACAUUUCCGGGUGUAGAUCAUGGAGGUAAAGUAUACUGGGGUAAAAUUCUAUAGCGGUGAAUGGGGGAUCACAGCAAAUAGUAUUUUUGCAUUCCCAUUUUCUGGGUAGCAAAAUAAAAAAUAUUAUGUUUCCACUACUUUCCAAAAUACGAGAUGGAUUACGGCAGUCAGACAAGAGAAAGGUGCCAAAUUUACGGUACUCCCUCAGCAGUCAUGUCAAGUCAUUUUUGUUUGUCUUGCACUUUUCACAGUACACAUCGUUUCAAAGCAGCUUUACAGAAAAAUCAUACUGUAAUGUCUUAAACGUCCUACAGUCCCCAGUGAAUAGCUUCACACACACACACACACACACACACGCACACACACACACACAACUUCAUUGCAAAUUGCCUUAAUGUUUUUGCCUUUAAUUCACCAGUGAGCAAGCCAAAGGCAAGGAAGGAAUGAAAAACUCGAUGUUAGUUAGUCGAGAGAAACCAAACUCAGCUUUGGGAGCCAGUGCUUCUAUGGAUUUUCAGCAUGAGCAUAAUGUAGUUCAUACAAUACAAGUUAUUUAUUAAUUGAGUAGAUUAAGUGAUUAAACUUUUUUGGUAGCCAAUGUUUAAAACUAAAAGGGUAUUGAUUGAAUGUAACUUUAAAGGAAUAUUCCGGGUUCGACACAAGCUAAGAUCAAACAAGCAUUUUUGGCAUUAUGUUGAUUACCAUAACAGAACAGUCCUUCCUUUUCUUUAAAUAAAGCAAAAAUCAAGGUGACAGUGAGGCACUUACAAUUGGUUUUGUAGGGACUUUCCCAUAGCGGCCAGUAGAGGUCGCUUAGAGAAUGGAAAUUAUUCUGAAGUCAUGUUUUAAGUUCUUGUCUUGUCUCUAUUCUCUAUGUUUCCCUUGAUUGCUGCCUGAUGUGUCUCAUUUACCCAAUUAGUCUUGGUGUAUUUAAUGCCCCCAUGAUCUCCUUAUUUUGGUCGGUUCUUGUUCUUGGAUGUAAUGGUUUGUGUUGCACUUGAGUCUAUAUUGUGUUUCUCCAGUGUUUCUUACAUUUCUAGUUAUCCUUGCAUUUCUUUUGAGUUUAUAAUUGCAUCUGCUUGCAUUUAGAUCCGUGAUUUCUCAUCCUUCAUCUCUACAGACGUUACACAAUGGAAGUAAAUGGGACCAUUUUUUGGAGGGUUUAAAGGGAGAAAUGUGAAGCUUAUAAUUUUAUUAAAGCACUUUCAUGAAUAAUCUUGUAAAAACUCAUGUAUUAUUUGAGCUGCAAAGUUGGUUAAAUCGGUGUUUUUAUGAUUGUUUUAUGGUUUUAGGCUUUACAGCGUUCCCUUUCAAGUUGGAGUCACUUCGACGUUAUGUUGUAAGAUGACACUAGGGGUUACUCCUGAGAGCACGAUCUCACUCUGAAUACUAUACCAUCUGGGCAAUUCAUUGGCAGGUGAAGUUCGGAGCUCUGCCCCUGAACUUCACGUGCAAAGUGUGAAUAUAAAAGGAGCCCGAAUUCAUCAUUACCUCUGAACUUCUCUUUCAGAGUCGAGACGCUUCUCACCUGUUGGAUCACGCCUUCUCUUUGUUCGCUACAAAAAAAAAAAGCACUUUUUGGCGGACUCAAUGCCUUCCUGUCUGC